GUAACGCAUCGCUACCCUCCCGUAUGCAGAGGAUUUCCAGUUGGAUUCGUCUGUUCAUACUGCAUGAGCCUUUCAGUCCCGGCAUGGUUCAGAAGGAUAAGGGUUGAUCUGCAUCGGAUGGCCCCGCGUCUGAGUAAGCUAGUUGUAGUGGUAGCGCCACAUCAUGACGAUGAUCAGUAGCCGAAAUGAGAUGUUGAACGGCCACAUUGGGACAGAGAUACGGCCCAGUCUCCUAGGGGAGGCCCGCAAUCGGGGAAUUUGCGCAAUGGAAGCACCUCUUACGCAGUGACGCCGCGUGCAGGAAGAAGGUUUUUGGAUUGUAAACUGCUUUAGCCAGGAACGAAAUAAAUUACGGUACCUAAAGAAUAAGCUCCGGCUUAAUACGUCCCAGCAGCCGUAAUAAAUCGUAUGUAGCGAUCGUUAUCCGGAUUUAUGGGGUGUAAAGGGUGGGUAGACGGAUUAGCAAGUUGGCUGUGAAAUCCCCCGGCUCAACUGGGGAUCAGCAACCAAAACUGUUAGUCUUGAGUACUGGAGGGGAAAGCGGAAUUCCUAGUGUAGCGGUGAAAUGCGUAGAUAUUAGGAGGAACACCGGUGGCGAAGGCGGCUUUCUGGACAGUUACUGACGGUGAGGCACGAAAGUGUGGGGAGCAAACAGGAUUAGAUACCUUGGUAGUCCACACCGUAAACGAUGAAUACUAGGCGUAGGUAGGUAUAAACUAUGUGUGCCGGAGCAAACGCAAUAAGUAUUCCCCGGGGGAAGUACGACCACAAGGUAAAAACUAAAAAAAAUUGGGGGGGCCCCCCACAAGCAGUGGAGUAUGUGGUUUUAUUAGAAGCAACGAGAAGCCCCUCCCGGAGGCUUCACAUAUAGGGACCGCUUAAGAGAUAUUCUUU
rnacentral:rRNA from 1 species